UCCAGCAAACAUUGUAUUGGUUCACUGCGUAUUUGCAAAGAUGGGGGAGGUUUAAUAAUUCCGUCAACCAACAAGUGAGUAAACUCAUUUGAUGCCCCUAUUUCAGCAGCAUGAAGUGUAGUUAACUGCCCAGUUUUUGUUGCAUUAACCAUUCCAUGGAAGCAGCCUGAUGGUCUUGUGCUGAAUGGUACAAUCAUAAUUGGCUUGAUGGAGGGAGCUUCAAAAGAAAUCAAUGCUAAAAUCUCAUUCAUAGCACAUGCAGCAAUAGGAGGCCUAUAGUCAGGCAGAACAAAAAAGGACACCUGCCAAAAAUUAACAGGCUUGAAUUUAGCUUGGAUGUGGCUCCAUAAGCAGCUUUUUAAAAUUUGAUUUAGUUGCAAGGAAUAAUGUUCCAUGUCAUAAAAAAUAGGCCAAAAAUAUAUUCGGUUCUUCAUUAGCAAAUGAUCAUCAAAGAUGUCAAAGCCAAUAAAAAGCCUUUUCUGUAGGUAAUGAAAUACCACAAGUUGUUCCAUUAUUAGCAUGAACUUACAGUGAUAGUCAAAUGGUAUAAGCUAAUUUUGAGCAUUACAUCCAUGAAAAGAAGGGGAGCCCUGGCGCAGCGGUAAAGUGAAUCUUGCAGAAAUGCAGAAAAAGGCUGCAUACAAAAGAUCGGAAGUGGUCGGUGUCAUGGGAGUAAGUCUGACAGUAAGAAUGGGGGGUACGUAGGAGGAGGCAAGAUCGUAGCUACGGUGAGUUUGUGCACGCAAGAUUUACGAGUUCAGGCCCUUUUCGUAGGAAGUAAUAGCCCUACGUCUCGGUGCCCGGAGGCUUGGUCGACUAGAUUAUGCGUGAGAGUUACAGGGGUGCGAACCCUUGUGCCAGAGGAGGGGGUGGCUUAUAUAGAGUACGCCAGGACCCCAGCCAUCCCACGUUACACAGGGUUCAAUAUACAUUAAGACAGGGCGUUACUGGUAACGCCAGCUGUAAAGAGCUAUAAAUGAUCUUCAAUACUUCGGAGUGAAUGCCUGACCGUUGCCACCCUGAGUGGCUUUAGACCUUCUCCUCUCCGAGUGAUUCUUCUUGUGGUCGAGUGACUCUAUCUUGGUCGAAUGGAAUUUGGACAUCCCAGUAGUAUACCUGGUCGAGUGGGAUAUCCAAUGUGACUUCAGUCGGUAUCUUCUAUUGUACUUGGAAUGUCUUUAACUCCAAGGCAGUGUCCUUGGGUAGGGCGUCUAGGUCAGGCCUAUGACCCUACCCUAGGUACAUGUCAUCGUCAUUAGCCCCCGAAUGGAUUGAGGCCCGAGUGAAGAAGUGUUGAAGUUCAUUCCAACUCAAUUCUAUGCUUCGGAAGCAUCCCACUGGAGUCUGGGAAUCUUGCUAAAGCUUCAACCUUGUUUCAGUUGCCUCGAUCGAUUCAGUGGUCGUCGAGUGAACUAAAUUGAUAAACUUCGAGUGUUGUUAUGGUGUAAGAUCUUCGGUGCGAUUGGUUGCUCUGCGGUCCCGGAUCUCACGGGAUUCGAAAUUUUGGAGAAGCGCGCGAGACGGGGCGUGCCGCGGUAAUCGGGGUUCUCGGGCGCGCGACUGUUGCGGGAUUUGAUGGGAUCGCUCGGGCCCACGGGUCAGCCACUCGGAAGUAGGCCCAUAAAAGGCGUCGACACCGAUGCGUUGCACAGUGCGCCCCAAUCAAUUUCUUCUUCCUCUGCUUCCCCACCACUUCCUCCUCCGCUCUCGUCGUCUCCGCUAGGCCCGUGCGCACUCUGCCGCCAUGGGGAAGGACAAGACGGCGGCCCUGGAGCGUUCGAAGAAGGUGGCGACGGCGGCGAAGGGCAAGAAGAUGGGUCGGGGGUCGUCGUCAUGGUCCGGUCAGCCGCCUGGAUGGAUCCAGGGGGACUGGACUCGCUCCACGAUCUCAAAAGAAGACUUGGAGGAUCUAGCCAGCGUGGGCUUGAUUGCUCAUGGAUCUUGGAGGCUGCCGGGGAACGAGUCCGAACCUCAGUCACAGGAGGGUGAGUGCGUCCUCCUUGCAACCCAUGUCGACCGUGGUUUCUCUCUGCCUCCGCAUCCUUUUUUCUGGGGCUUCUUGAACUUUUUCGGUGCCCAAAUCCACCAUUUCCCUCCAAAAACCAUCACGUACCUCACCGCUUUCAUCUCGAUGUGUGAAAAUUUCUUGGGUUGUCAACCACACUGGGGUCUGUUUAAGCAUAUCUUCACUUGUCGAUCUCAGUUGGUGAAGAAAGCCAAUCCGACUGACAAAAAGACGCAUGUGCUUUAGUUGUGCGGGGGUUUAGGGAUUCAAACCAAAGGUAGGAGUGCUUUUCCUUCCAUUACCCUUCCCGAGUUAGUCCGCGAGUGGUAGUCGACCUGGUUCUAUUGCAAGGACAUCCCGACUCCGGGUGAGUCGACCGGUCUUCCUCCUUUCACCAUGGAGCGACCCCGCCUACCUUCUUUGCAGACUGUGACUCUAGAGGAGAAAGGCGAGGUUUCUCAUCUGGUCGACCAUGUUGUCAAGUUAGUCCGGGAUGGGGUGACUGGCAUGGACUUGCUGGAAGUGUUCCUCAGUCGACGUAUCCAGCCUCUCCAAGCUCGCGACCAUCCGAUGUGGAUGUAUUCGGGCGUUGAUGACACCGCUCUGGUCCACCUAGAGGAGGUCGCCGAGGAGACGGUGGCUCAGUGGUUGUGAAGCAUAACUGGGAACAAGGACAACCCCAGGGGGUCCAGGAGAGUUCGCCCAUUCGAUGCCGACCAUGAGCCGGACAAGGUUUGGACCUUAUUGCAGAGUGGUUUCUUAUUCCAAUCUGUAAUUGCUCUUGAAUCUGACCGAUGCUUGCUAAACUCACUGCUUGCAGAUUUACACCGGGAUGUACACGAUCCCAAAUGGCAAGCAACACUAGGAAGGAGGGGAAAGCACGAGCGAGAGUGCCGACUGGGAGUCUGGAACCGAUGGUGAAGAUAACAGCGAUGACUUGAGCAGUGGCGAAGAGGUUGACUCGCCACCCCGCUCGGAGCGUUGUUCCAAAAAGUCCCACGAUCCCGCAGGUGGGCGUGGCAAGGCAGCUCCGUCAAACACGCAAGUAUCCAAGCGCACUCGGAGCUCAACUCCAGAACCAUCGGAGAAGGCUGCUAAGCAGCCCAGGGUUGCUCCAGUGAAGCCUCGGAAGGCUCUGUCUAAGAUCAAGGUGGACGUUCUUGUUGCCUCGGCGUAAGUGUUCCUCUUCUCUAUUUUUCUUUGCUCGGGAACUUCUAUGUUGUUGUCGACUCUUUUUCUUGUUUGGCCGAUUGAGUUUUGGAAUUCUUAGCGUCGCUACUUCUAGGACGUCCAUGAAUAUUGACAAGGAGCAAGAUGACGAGGAAACUGCAGACGCGGCCACAUCUCAGGCAGGUACAGCUCCACAGUUAUGUUCUUGCUUUGCCAAUUGUUUUGACGGUCGACUGAAACAUUAUGGUCGAAUGUUUUGCAGCCCCGCCAAAUGUUAUCGAACAUCCAGAUGACGACGACCAUGAAGACGUGCCUCAGAAGAACACAGGAAGAAAGAGCAGGAUUUCGAGCAGGAGGGCGCCUGCCAGCAAAGUGCCUUAGUCGUCGUCAGCGCCAGAAGCAGUCAUCUAGCAAUCUGGAGAUCCAACUCGGGCUUCUAUUUCUUUUGCUGAUCCUGUGUCGACUGAUCAUCCUUCGACGUCGACUUCUCAAGUUCUUGCUCCGUUUGUGCAACUCCAUGCUUCAGAUCCCUUGGCUGCUCCAUCUGUUCCACCAACUUUGUUCUUUGUUACCCAUCAUGUCCCAGAGGACCAAGUAAGCGCCACUAAGGAAGCUAUACGCCAAGCAGGCCUUAUGAUGGAGCAAAUGAAGGUGGUGCACGAGGCUAGCAAGGCUGCUUACGAUGCCAGCUCAGCCCUUCAAUCAAUGUCUAGGUGAAGUUAAUUUCUGACUGGUCUUUUAGCUUGAUCUUUGCUCUGUUAGGAUAUGGUACUUGAAAACUACUGCUUUAUUAUUCGUAAGAUGUCCGUGGAUGAGCGUUUUGGAACCUUUAAUGUGCAUCUAUCAUGAUUCUGUGUCUUGCAUCCACUCACCCACUAGGUGUUUUAACUUCUGCUGUGUAGCUCUUUUCACUUGAGUCGACCAUGUCGCGUCGGGUGAACUCUUGAAUCAGUGGGGGCACGCAGAGUGCACCCACUGGGUGUAGUCCCCGAGACUGCGGUCGACUACGGGCAGUCGGCGGUGGUCUGAGCAUAAAUGUUGUUGUCGUUUUACUCCUUCCACUCAGACUGGACGGGCCAUGUCGAGUGGAAGUCGAACCAGUGGGGGCACGCCAAGUGCACCCACUGGGUGUAGUCCUCGAGACUACUGUUGAAUGUUUGAUUCGGCAGUAGUCUUAGAACUCUUUUUGCCGUAAUAACUUGAACUUGUAUCUUAUCGCUCGGAAGCAAUCGAUCUUUGUUUCUGUCGACUGACAUGUCUUAUUUGUUGACUGCAGAAAUCUUGUGAGCUCGGGGCCCAGUUCGCUGAAUUGGAGAGGAAACAAAUUCAGCUCAACCUUCACCUGGAACUGGCCAAGCAGAGUUUGCAAAAGGCUAACGAUGAAGCAACUGCCAUGGGAGGUAAUAACUUAUCGACUGUUUGCCUUGUCACUUUUUCUUUUCAUCUUUUGAACCGAGUGACUCCACUCGAACAGAUGCACGUAGUGAAAACAGACAACUCCAAGCUCGUCUGAAGAAUGUUAUUUCUUUAGACAAAAUGAAGCAGGCUCUGGAGCAGAAGGACCUCGACCUUGCAGCAUCACAGAAGAUGGCGCGAGAGAAAACUGAACUUGCUGAUACAAAGCUGGCUUUAGUCGGCAAGUUGGAAGAAGAAAAUGCCAAGUUGAAGACUGCCAUUGAUGAAGCAAACAAAUAAGUCGUGUAGCUGAAGAAGGACAAAGUGGCCUCGACCGACAAAGUCGGUGAUCUCACUCGGAGGAGAGACGAAUUGGAGACUUAUCUGGGAGGCCUUGCCAAAAAUAUGUUCCUUAUGCUCGAAGGUACUUUUCCUUGUUCGGCUGAUUUGCAACUUCCGACUCAUCAUAUGAUUGUCAACUCAUUAUUUUUCUGUGCAUGCAGAAUUCUGUCAAAAUUUUGAGGAAGAGACUCGGCGAAUUGAGACGAAUCUGGACCCCAUAAACUCCCCCGUCAAGGAUGAAGCCGCGAUGAACAUGCUGUGACUGGAAUCCCGCCUCGCUAGUGUUAUGGAUUACCUUGCUCGUCUGAAAGUGGCGGUGUCGCGGAUCGUCACGGAGCUCUGGCCAGUUGUGACAUUCCAGAAUGACCUCGAGUAUCUGAUGACUCAACUCAAUGAAAUCCCUGGUCGAGUGCAAGCAUGGAAGAAGUCAUCUGCUCGGUGCGGCGCUGACGUGGCUCUGUCUCUGGUCCGUGACCAUUGCAAGGAAGUUAAAGAAGAGAAGCUGGCAGCUCUCAAAGUCGCCAAUACCAAGAAGCUUUAGUUCCAGUCCUUCAUGUGGACCUUCGUCGAUGCUUCCACUCGUAUUGCAGAUGGAAUUGACCUGGAUGAGUUCGUCGAGCCAGCUCGCCCUCCUCCUGCAGAGUGAAAAACUUGAUGCCUUGACUUUAUUUGCCUCGGAAUGCCAAGUGAUUUUGUAACAGUUAAACUCUUUCGGGCCUGACAUCCGUGCACUUCUGUUCGCGGUUCUAAACCUUCAUGGAUUUAUCUGAACUUCGUUUUUCUUUUGAAUAUGGUUGCUUUGUCUUCAUCACUUUCGAAUUUCUUGACUCCGAGUGAAACUUGACUCUUCGCUCGGAAUAGACGUUGUACUUGUGGUGCAGCUCUGAGUGCAACCAUACAUUGUACUUGUGGCGCAGCUCUGAGUGCAACCAUACAUUGUACUUGUGGCGCAGCUCAGAGCACGGCCAUAUGUUGUAUUCGUGGCGCAACUCUUAGUAUGCAGCCAAGCUAUUGAGUGGGGGGUUGCUCUCCACUCGACGUAGUUUUGUAACUUAGGCGAGUGCGGGAUCACAGCUAAGCCUCCGAGUGGGAGGAUGGCUCUCCACUCGGAGUAGUUUUGUAACUUAGCCGAGUACGGGGUCGCAGCUAAGUCCCCGAGUGGGAGGAUUGCUCCCCACUCGGAGUAGUUUUGUAACUUAGCCGAGUACGGGGUCGCAGCUAAGUCCCCGAGUGGGAGGAUUGCUCCCCACUCGGAGUAGUUUUGUAACUUAGGUGAGUACGGGGUCGCAGCUAAGUCCCCGAGUGGGAGGAUUGCUCUCCACUCGGAGUAGUUUUGUAACUUAGGCGAGUACGGGGUCGCAGCUCAGCCCCCAAAUGAGAGGAUUGCUCUUCACUCGGAAGAGUUUUGUAACUUAGGCGAGUACGGGGUCGCAGCUAAGCCCCCGAGUGGGAGGAUUGCUCUCCACUCAGAGUAUUUUUGUAACUUAGGCGAGUACGGGAUCGUAGCUAAGCCUCCGAGUGGGAGGAUGGCUCUCCACUCGAAGUAGUUUUGUAACUUAGGUGAGUACGAGGUCGCAGCUAAGUCCCCGAGUGGGAGGAUUGCUCUCCACUCGGAGUAGUUUUGUAACUUAGGCGAGUACGGGGUUGCAGCUAAGUCUCCGAGUGGGAGGAUUGCUCUCCUCGCGAAGUAGUUUUGUAACUUAGGCGAGUAUGGGGUCACAGCUAAGCCCCCGGGUGAGAGGAUCGCUCUCCACUCGGAGUGUUUUUGAAACUUAGGCAAAUCGGGUUCGUGGCUAAGCCCCUGAGUGAGAGGGUUGCUCUUCACUCGGAAUGUUUUUGAAACUUAGGCGAAUCGGUUCGCGGCUAAGCCUCCGAGUGAGAGGGUUGCGCUUCACUCAGAGUGUUUUUGAAACUUAGGCGAAUCAGGUUCGUGGCUAAGCCACCCAGUGGGGGAUUUGAACACAUAUGCUUAAGGGGUAACAAUGAUUAAGAUACUGCAAAAAUCUAGUCUUUGAUAAGCCAACUGAAGGAUUCUUAUUACAACGAUCGAUCCGAGUGCUUAGGUAUAAAACCGGCGGAGCAGCUCCGCAUUCCACGAGCGUGGCUCGUCUUCUUUCUUGGCUACGUUGUAGAGGUGAUACGCUCCAUUGUGGAGCACCUUGGUGAUGAUGAAGGGGCCUUCCCAGGCUGGAGCGAGCUUGUGAGGCCGUUUCUGGUGCACUCGGAGCACAAGGUCUCCUUCCUGAAAUGCUCGACCUCUGACAUUUCGGGCAUGGAAUUGACGCAGGUCUUGUUGAUAGAUGGUCGACCGGAUCAGGGCCAUCUCUCGUUCCUCCUCUAGGAGGUCAACUACAUCCUGUCGUGCCUGUUCUGCUUCAGCUUCUGAGAAGAGUUCCACUCGGGGGGGCACUGUGCAGUAAAUCACUCGAAAGCAUAGCUUCAGCACCAUACACCAUGAAGAAAGGAGUUUGGUCAGUCGACCAGUUGGGAGUUGUUCUCAGACCCCAUAGGAAAGAUGGCAAUUCGGUCACCCAAGCUCCAGCGGCGUGCUUGAGAUCGCGCAUCAAUCGGGGUUUCAGCCCUUGAAGGAUCAAACCAUUCGCCCUUCUGUCUGCCCAUUCGACUGUGGGUGCGCGACAGAUGCGUAAUCGGCCCGAGUGCCUUGGGAAGCACAAAACGCUCUAAACUCAUCAGAAUCAAAGUUGGAACCGUCAUCUGUGAUAAUGCUGUGAGGGACUCCAUAUCUGAAUAUCAGCUCUCUGAUGAAACUAAUGGCAGUGCUUGAAUCAAGAUUCUUGAUAGGCUUGGCUUCGAUCCAUUUGGUGAACUUGUCAACUGCCACGAGCAAAUGAGUAAAGCCACUUCUGCCGGUCAUGAAAGGUCCGACCAUGUCCAACCCCCAAACUGCAAACGGCCAGAUGAGUGGAAUAGUCUUCAAGGCAAAUGCAGGCUUGUGAGACAUGUUUGAGUAGAACUAGCAGCCUUCGCACUUGUCGACUAUAUCUUUAGCCAUCUCAUUUGCACGCGGCCAGUAAAAACCUGCUCGGUAUGCUUUGGCCACGAUGGUCCGAGAGGACGCAUGGGGACCAUAGGUCCCCGAGUGGAUCUCAUUUAGGAUCAUUCGACCUUCUUCUGGGGAGAUGUAGCGCUGGGCAACUCCGGUAACGCUUUCUCUGUAAAGUUGUCCAGCUAUUAUGGUGAAGGCUUCGGAUCGGCAGAUGAUCUAGCGGGACUCAUCUGCAUCCUCUGGGAGUUCCUGCCUAACCAGGUAUGCUAUGUAUGGCACUGUCCAGUCGGGGGUGAUCACCAAAACCUCCAUGAUCAGGUCGACCACAGCCGGGACUUUGAUCUCAGUCGGAUUGGUUAAGCUUAUCGGUUGUGGGAGCUCCUCUGUAAAAGGGUCUUCUUGAACUGACGGGGUGUGGAGAUGCUCAAGAACACAUUGCUAGGUAUAGGUUUCCGAGUGGAACCUAACUUUGCCAAAUCAUCAGCAGCUUGAUUCUUGAUUCAGGGUAUGUGGCAGAGCUCUAACCCCUCAAACUUCUUCUCCUGCUUUCUUACUGCAUUACAAUAACUAGUCAUAGCUGGGCUCCUUAUAUCCCACUCCUUCAUCACUUGGUUGACCACUAAAUCUGAGUUCCGUAAACCAUCAGGCGUCGAACGCCGAGUGAGAUGGCCAUACGCAAUCCAUACAGAAGUGCCUCAUAUUCAUCUUCAUUGUUGGAAGAAUCAAAGUGAAUCUGGAGGACAUAACUGAGCUUGUCGCCUCUUGGGGAUACCAGGACCACUCCAGCACCAGAACCAUUCAACAUUUUGGACCCAUCGAGUCGGUUGCUGUUGUUCAAUCCACUCGGCGAGGAAAUCUGCUAUUGCUUGAGACUUGAUUGCUUUCUUUGCCUCGAACUUGAUAUCCAACGGAAGGAGUUCAAUCGCCCACUUCGCAACUCGACCAGUUGCAUCUUUAUUGUUCAGAAUUUCUGACAAUGGGGCAUCGCUGACGACUGAGACCGAGUGGUCCAUGAACUACUGUGCAAGUUUCUUCGUGGUCAUGUAAAUUCCAUAAACCAACUUCUGAUAAUGUGGAUAUCUUUGCUUGGACGGAGUCAAGACUUCAGAAAUAUAGUACACUAGACAUUGAACUUUGUAGGCUUUGCCUUCUUCUUCCUGCACGAUUGUGAGCACUGUGCUGACAACCUGUCCAGUGGCUGCGAUAUACAGUAGUAAAGGCUCUUUGCUGAUUGGGGCAGCAAGCACCGGCUGGGUGGAAAGCAUGGCUUUGAGCUCUACAAAUGCUGCUUUGGCUUCAGGGGUCCACUUGAACUUAUCAUAAUUCUUCAUCCGUCUGUAAAGAGGCAAUGCCUUUUCACCGAGACGAGAGAUGAAUCGACUCAAUCCAGCCAAACAACCAGUAAGCUUCUGAACAUCGUGUACACGCACGGGACUUUUCAUUCGGAGAAUUGCUCCAACCUUUUCUGGGUUUACAUCGAUCCCUCAUUCGGAAACAAGGAAACCGAGUAACUUUCCGCCCGGGACUCCGAAUGUGCACUUUGAUGGAUUGAGCUUGAUAUCAUAUCUUCUUAAGUUAGCAAAGGUUUCAGCGAGGUCAGUCAAUAGGUCGGAACCUUUGCGUGACUUGACCACGAUAUCAUCCAUGUAUGCUUCCAUGUUCCGACUGAUUUGAGUGAGCAGGCACUUCUGAAUCAUGCGCAUGAACAUGGCGCCAGCAUUCUUGAGACCGAAAGGCAUGGAAACAUAGCAAAAACACCCGAAUGGGGUGAUGAAGGCUAUUUUUAUUUUGUCGGGUCCAUACAGUCAGAUCUGAUGGUACCCGGAAUACGCAUCCAAAAAGGACAAACGCUCACACCCCGCAGUUGAGUUGACAAUCCGAUCGAUGCAGGGGAGAGGGAAAUGAUCUUUCGGGCAGGCCCGAUUGAUGUGCUUGAAAUCGAUACACAUACAAAGUGAAUCAUCUAUCUUGGGAACCAUGGCAACAUUGGCGAGCCACUCGGAGUGGUAUAUCUCACGGAUGAAUUCAGCUGCCAGAAGCCGAGCCACCUCCUCGCCAAUUGCCUUCCUUUUCUCCACGGCGGACCGACGGAGAUGCUCUUUGACGGGUUUUGCUUUUGGGUCGACACGCAAACGAUGCUCAGCCAGUCCCCUGGGUAGACCCGGCAUGUCAGAUGGUUUCCAUGCAAAGAUGUCCCAAUUCUCACGGAGGAACUGGAUGAGUGCUUCUUCCUAUUUGCUGUCGAGUGUUGUUGAGAUGUGGGUCGGAGAAGCAUUGGGAUCAGUUGGGCGAAUAUGGACAGGCUUUGUUUCACCAGCCGACUGAAAUGCAGACUCGGAAGCAAGCUUCUUAGCUCGCAACAAAUCACUCGGAUCUGCAUUCUUGUUGUACUCUUCCAUUUCUACUGCUGCCAUUUGCUCAUAGGCAAUCUUCGAGCCUUUCUGGAGGCACUCUUCUGCCCUUUGUCGAUUCCCCUGUGACUGUGAUCAUCCCCUGGGGCCAGGCAUCUUCAACUUGAGGUACACGUAACAUGGCCGAGCCAUGAAACGAGCAUAUGCAGUCCUGCCCAGAAUAGCAUGAUAGGCGCUGUGAAAAUCCACCACCUCAAAUGUCAACUUUUCUUUACGAUAAUUCUUUGAAUCACCGAAAACCACGUCAAGAGUGAUCUGACCGAGUGAACCGGCUUUCUUUCCUGGGAUGACUCCAUGGAAUCUCAUGUUGCUCUCGCUGAGCUUGGACAUCGGAAUGCCCAUCCCUCGGAGGGUCUCAGCAUACAGAAUGUUCAAUCCACUGCCACCGUCCAUCAGAACCUUGGUCAGUCGGGUGCCCCCAACGACUGGGUCGACCACCAACACUUGCCGCCCGGGGGUAGCAACGUGCGCUGGGUGAUCGGACUGGUCAAAUGUAAUGGGAGUCUUCGACCACUUUAAAUAUGUCGUAGUUGCCAGAGCAACCAUGUUCACUUCUCGAUUGAUAACUUCCAGUCGACUUUUGCUCUCAACGUCAGCAAAAAUCACUAAAGUGGCAGUGACAUUAGGGUAACCAUCAUCUUCCUCUUUGUCCUAUUCCAUAUCAGAUUCCUUCACUUUUUCGCUGGGCUGACCCUCUUGGAAGCUCUGAAUCAGGAGUUGACACUGUCGAGUGGUAUGCUUGGGAUAAAUCCAGUUACCCUCUUCAUCUUUUUUGGUGUGUAUGUGGCACGGCAAAUCAAGAACAUCAUUUCCCGCUUGAUCUUUUACUUUUUUGGGGAUCCAAUGCCCUUUCGGAUUUCCCUUGAACUUCCCUUGAUUCACAACUGCGGCUUCAGCAGGACCUGCAGUUUCAGAUUUGCGCUUCUGCUUCCGACUGAAUUUCCUCCUCCGGUGUCCUGGGCAACUGGUUUGUUCUUGCUACUGCAGAGUCGGUCUUCCUCUUCGCCGUUAGUGUACCGAGCGGCUAUUUCCAUCAUUCGGGCCAGGGUCAUAUCACCUAUCCGACCGAAUUUCAGGUCGAGCUCUCUGUACCGAACACCCUCUUUGAAGGCGCAAACUACUUGGUGUUGCGACACAUUUUCCACUGUAUGAUGAAGGUAGUCCACCUCUGAAUGUAAUCUCUCAAGGUCUCAUUCGGUUUCUGAACACAAUGUUGUAACUCAGUCAGCCCGGCAGGUUGCUUGCAGGUGCCCUCGAAUGUUUUAAUGAACACUCGGGCCAACUCUUCCCAACUGAAACUACUUCCAGGGGCCAACUGAUUCAACCAAGCUCUGGCUGAGCCCUCCAGCAUCAAAGGGAGGUGUUUCAUGGCCACAUCAUCGUUGUCACCGCCAAUCUACACUGCCACUCGGUAAUCUUCCAGCCAAGUGUCAGGCUUCGACUCACCAGUGAACUUACUCACAUUCGUCGCCAACCUGGAGUUGGGAGGGAUCUCAGCAACUCUGAUGGCUCUACUAAAACAUUCGGGCCCAGAAACAUGCACUCUGCUUCCAAUCGGACGAUCUCUGUCCUGUCCCUCUAUGUGUGCCCGGCCUUUGUCGACCAGACAUUGUACGAGAACUGAUCUUGCAUCAAACUCGGGCUCUCUUGGGUCGACUGGAGCUCUCCGCUCAUCACCAUACGGGCGCAUGUCAUCAUAUCACCGGGGCGCGUACGAUCCGCCCCUCGGAGGGGGCGUAGGCACUCGACGGCGGUCAUCACGGCCGAAUCAAUGAUCAUACGGCCCCUGGCCUCUAUCCAGGUGCUGAUCCUGGCGGUGCCCACGAUCCUCAUGCCGUGGAGGUGAUCUUGGACUAUGAGCCGACUGAACUGUGUCUGCAACUACAGAUCUGCUAUGGAUCCUAUUGCGCGACUGAGAAACGGUAGAGUUUUGUUCACCCGCUGCUCGGAGCAGCACUCGGAUUUCCAGCAAACCUCUACCAGCCUCUGAACGAGGUGGAUGAAUCCACUCUGCUAUACGGGUUGCAGCUGCAAGAUUCUGGAUCGGUGUGCGAUAUACCUGAGGUUCAGGCGAGAACAACUGACGAUGACGUCAACUGGAUUCAGGGAUCUGCCAACGAGCGCGUUCGUUGAGUGAAUGUUGGAGAUUCUCCAGACGCGCGCGCUCAGCCAGGGUGGCCAGACGCGUAGCCUCCAAGGCCCGAGCCUCAGAGGUCUCUCCGAUGAUGGGGUGUGGAGCGCCUCCACGUUACAACGAUGUAGCUCCUCCCUUUGCUCCGAAGUGAGGGUUUCGGGGUGAUAUUCGUCGUGACCGUGUGACGGGCCGCCGCCGCCACUGCGACGGGAACCAAACGGGCUGCACGGCGUAUCGACCAUCAUGACUUCCGCCGCAGGGUCGCUGCUCCCGCACUUGGACAGGGUCUCAACGGAACUAGUCGACAGGUCGAAUAGUCCGUAGAGAGAUUCGUCGGGCUCAAUUGCCGCGAUGAAUCAAUGUUAAUCCUAUUUGGGGUAAGAUUUGGAAAUUACCUUUUCCAACAAAGGUGAAAUUUUCAUUUGGUGCACAUUGCAUGGCACUCUACCUUGUCAGGCUACGCUUGUGAAUAGACACCUGAAAGUCACGCCAUCUGCCCAUCCCGUUCUAAUGUGCCAGAGGAUACAAAGCAUAUGUUGUUUUUUGUUAGAAAGCUAAGGAGGUUCGGCAUAAGUUGGGAUUAGAUGAGGUGAUCAACAAAGCUUGUGUUAUUGAUCGUGCAGGAGAGGCAGUCCUUGAAUAUUUACUUCUUAUGCGAGAACAUGAACGCGCUUUAUUGGGCUUCCAGAACGCCUACAAACUAAUCACUAUUACUACUUGAUACUUAUGGUGGGAUAGACGUAGGCUAGCCCACGAACGAAAGUUUCAAGAUGCUCAACAAACUUCUAUGGGAAUUCAUGCUUUAGCGACAAACUUUGUUAAUGCUUUCUCACCUAAUGCAAUCGGUAAAAGAGCAGGAUGGACUAGACCUCCAAUGGGUUUUGUGAAGCCGAAUGUGGAUGCAUCUUUUGAUCAUGACCUGCUUACGGGCACAGCUGGUGCUAUUAUCAGAUAUGACAAAGGAAAAUUCAUUGUUGGCGGAAACUGGAAGAUUGAUUGGUGUGUUGAUGUCCUAACGGUAGAAGCUUAGGCUCCAAGACUCGGAUUAUCUCUUGCAAAUAAGGCGGGUUGCAAUCGCCUUGUCAUUAAUUCUGACAAUAUGGAAGUCACUGAUACCAUGAAGAAUGGAGGAAGCAGGAGCAACGGCGGCAGUUUUUGAUGAUUGUUAUUUUUUAGCCUGUGAUUUUCCUCUCACUGGUUUUGAGCAUUGUAAUAGGGAAGCGAACAAGUUAGCUCAACGAACUUGUCAGAUUAGCUAGAUUUUCUGAGACAAAAGGGAUGGUUUGAGGAGCCUUUGGUUGAAAUUCUACAAACUCUAAUAGAUGAUGUAACCAUUAUUUCUAAUUAAUAAAGGUGGUUAUUGAAAAAAUACUUUUUGAGGUACCUAUAGUGUUGGGUAACGUAGUAUUUCAAAGAAAAUCCUACGAUCACGCAAGAUCUAUCUAGGAGAAGCAUAGCAAUGAGCAGGGAGAGUGUGUCCACGUACCUUCGUAGACCGAAAGCAGAAGCGUUUAGUAACGCGGUUGAUGUAGUCGAACGUCUUCAUGAUCCAACCGAUCCAAGUACCGAACGCACGGCACCUCCGCGAUCUGCACACGUUCAGCUCGGUGACGUCCCUCGAACUCUUGAUCCAGUUGAGGCCGAGGGAGAGUUCCAUCAGCACGACGGCGUGGUGAUGGUGAUGAUGAAGUUACCGGCGCAGGGCUUCGCCUAAGCACUGCGACAAUAUGACCGAGGUGUGUAACUGUGGAGGGGGGCACCGCACACGGCUAAGAGAUUGUCUGUUGUGCCUUUGGGGUGCUCCCCUGCCCCCGUAUAUAAAGGAGGGGAGGAGGAGGCCGGCCAACAAGGGGCGCGCCAGGAAGGGGGGAGUCCUACUAGGACUCCAAUCCUAGUAGGAUUCGGCCCCACCCUUUUUUCCUUCUACUAGAGGGGGGAAAGGGGAAGGAGAGGGAGUAGGAGAAGGAAAGGGGGGUGGCGCCCCCUUCCCAAGUCCAAUUCGGCCUCCUCCCUUGUGGGGGGCGCACCAGCCCCUUGUGGGCUGGUUAGCUUCCCUCCUAUGGCCCAUAAGGCCCAUAUCUUUCCCCGGGGGGUUCCGGUAACCUCCCGGUACUCCGAAAAAAUGCACGAACCACCCGGAACCAUUCCGAUGUCCAAAUGUAAUCUUCCAAUAUAUGAAUCUUUAUCUCUCGACCAAUUCGAGACUCAUUGUCAUGUCCGUGAUCUCAUCCGGGACUCCUAACAAACUUCGGUUCAUCAAAUCACAUAACUCAUAAUACAAAUCGUCAUCGAACGUUAAGCGUGCGGACCCUACGGGUUUGAGAACUAUGUAGACAUGACCGAGACAAAUCCUAAUCUCGAUUUAUGCCAACUCAACAAACACCUUCGGAGAUACCUGUAGAGCAUCUUUAUAAUCACCCAGUUAUGUUGUGACGUUUGAUAGCACACAAGGUGUUCCUCCGGUAUUCGGGAGUUGCAUAAUCUCAUAGUCAGAGGAGCAUGUAUAAGUCAUGAUGAAAGCAAUAGCAAUAAAACUAAACGAUCAUUAUGCUAAGCUAACAGAUGGGUCUUGUCCAUCACAUCAUUCUCUAAUGAUGUGAUCAUGUUCAUCAAAUGACAACACAUGUCUAUGGUCAGGAAACAUAACCAUCUUUGAUUAAUGAGCUAUUCAAGUAGAGGCAUACUAGGGACACUCUGUUUUGUCUAUGUAUUCACACAUGUACUAAGUUUCCGGUUAAUACAAUUCUAGCAUGAAUAAUAAAUAUUUAUCAUGAUAUAAGGAAAUAUAAAUAACAACUUUAUUAUUGCCUCUAGGGCAUAUUUUCUUCAGUCUCCCACUUGCACUAGAGUCAUAAUCUAGUUCACAUCGCCAUGUGAUUUAACACAAAUAGUUCACAUCACCAUGUAAUUAGUUCGCAUCACCAUGUCACUAAUACCCAAAGGGUUUUACUAGAGUCAAUAAUCUAGUUCACAUCGCUAUGUGAUUAACACCCAAAGAGUACUAAGGUGUGAUCAUGUUUUGCUUGUGAGAGAAGCUUAGUCAAUGGGUUUGUCACAUUCAGAGCCAUAUGUAUUUUGCAAAUUUUCUAUGUCUACAAUGCUCUGUAUGGAGCUACUCUAGCUAAUUGCUCCCACUUUCAAUAUGUAUCCAGAUUGAGACUCAUAGUCAUCCGGAUCGGUGUAAAAGCUUGCAUCGGCGUAACUCUUUACGACAAACUCUUUAUCACCUCCAUAACCGAGAAAUAUCUCCUUAGUCUUCUAAGGAUAAACCUAUGGCUGAGGCAUAGGGAAUGACUUUCAUUCUCUUUCUAUUUUCUGUCGUGGUCGUGUUUUGAGUCUUACUCAACUUUACACCUUGCAAUACAGGCAAGAUCUCCUUCUUUGACUGUUCCAUUUUGAACUACUUCAAAAUCUUGUCAAGGUAUCUACUCAUUGAAAAACUUAUCAAGCGUCUUGAUCUAUCUCUAUAGAUCUUGAUGCUCAAUAUGUAAGCGGCUUCACCGGGGUCUUUCUUUGAAAAACUCCUUUCAAACACUCCUUUCCAGAAAAUUCUACAUCAUUUCCGAUCAACCAUAUGUCAUUUACAUAUACUUAUGAGAAAGGCUGUAGUGCUCCCACACACUUUAUUGUAAAUACAGGCUUCACUGCAAGUCUGUAUAAGACUAUAUGCUUUGAUCAACUCAUCAAAGUGUAUAUUCCAACUCCGAGAUGCUUGCACCAGUCCAUAGAUGGAUCGCUGGAGCUUGCACAUUCUGUUAGCACCUUUAGGAUUGACAAAACCUUAUUGUUGCAUCAUAUACAACUCUUCCAUUAAGGUAUGCAGUCUUGACAUCCAUUUGCCAGAUUUCAUAAAAAUGCGGCAAUUGCUAACAUGAUUCGGACAGACUUUAAGCAUAGAUAUGAGUGAGAAACUCUCAUCGUAGUCAACACCUUGAACUUGUCGAAAACCUGUUGUAACAAUUCGAGCUUUGUAGAUAGUAACACUACUAUCAGCGUCCAUCUUCCUCUUGAAGAUCCAUUUAAUCUCAAUGGCUUGCCGAUCGUCGGGCAAGUCAAUCAAAGUCCAUACUUUGUUCUCAUACAUGGAUCCCAUCUCCGAUUUCAUGGCCUCAAGCCAUUUCGCGGAAUCUGGGCUCAUCAUCGCUUCCUCAUAGUUCGUAGGUUCGUCAUGGUCAAGUAACAUGACCUUGAGAAUAGGAUUACCGUACCACUCUGGUGCGGAACGUACUCUGGUUGACCUACGAGGUUCGGUAGUAACUUGAUCUAAAGUUUCAUGAUCAUCAUCAUUAACUUCCUCACUAAUUGGUGUAGGCAUCACUGGAACUGAUUUCUGUGAUGAACUACUCUCCAACUUGAGAGAAGGUACAACUACCUCAUCAAGUUCUACUUUCCUCCCACUCACUUCUUUUGAGAGAAACUCCUUCUCUAGAAAGGAUCCAUUCUUAGCAACAAAUGUCUUGCCUUUGGAUCAGUGAUAGAAGGUGUACCCAAUAGUUUCUUUUUGGGUAUCCUAUGAAGACACACUUCUUCGAUUUGGGUUCGAGCUUAUCAGGUUGAAGCUUUUUCACAUAAGCAUCGCAGCCCCAAAUUUUAAGAAACGACGGCUUAGGUUUCUUGCCAAACCACAAAACGAUAGCGGUAAAUCAGUAAGAGACAUCAUAGAUCGCACCAUAUCUAAUAAAGUGCGGUUACGACGUUCGGACACACCAUUACGCUGUGGUGUUCCAGGUGGCGUGAGUUGCGAAACUAUUCUGCAUUGUUUCAAAUGAAGACCAAACUCGUAACUCAAAUAUUCACCUCCACGAUCAGGUCGUAGAAACUUUAUUUUCUUGUUACGAUGAUUUUCCACUUCACUCUGAAAUUCUUUGAACUUUUCAAAUGUUUCGGACUUAUGUUUCAUCAAGAAGAUAUACUUAUAUCUGCUCAAAUCAUCUGUGAAGGUCAGAAAAUAACGAUACCUGCCACAAGCCUCAACACUCAUCGGACCGCAUACAUCAGUAUGUAUUAUUUCCAAUAAGUCAGUGGCUCGCUCCAUUGUUCCGGAGAACGGAGUCUUAGUCAUCUUGCCCAUGAGGCAUGGUUCGCAAGCAUCAAGUGACUCCAAAAGCCCAUCAGUAUGGAUUUUCUUCAUGCGCUUUACACCAAUAUGACCUAAACGGCAGUGCCACAAACAUGUUGCACUAUCAUUAUUAACUUUGCAUCUUUUGGCAUCAAUAUUAUCAAUAUGUGUAUCACCGCAAUCGACAUUCAGUAAACCAUUUACAUUGGAUGUAAGACCAUAGAAGGUUUUAUUCAUGUAAAUGGAACAACAAUUAUUCUCUGACUUAAAUGAAUAAUUGUAUCACAAUAAACAUGAUCCAAUCAUACUCAUGCUCAACGCAAACACCAAAUAACAUUUAUUUAAAUCCAAUACUAAUCCCGAAGGUAGAGGGAGUAUGCGAUGGUGAUCUUAUCAACCUUGGAAUCACUUCCAACAUACAUCGUUACCACGCCCUUAACUAGUCUCUGUUCAUUUUGUAACUCCUGUAACUCCUGUUUCAAGUUACUAAUCGUAGCAACUGAACCGGUAUCAAAUACCCAGGGGCUACUAUGAAUACUAGUAAAGUACACAUCAAUAACAUGUAUAUCAUAUAUACUUUUGUUCACUUUGCCAUCCUUCUUAUCCAUCGAGUAUUUGGGGCAGUUCCGCUUCCAGUGAUCAUUUCCUUUGUAGUAGAAGCACUCAGUUUCAGGCUUGGGUCUAGCUUUGGGCUUCUUCAUGGGAGUGGAAACUUGCUUGUCAUUCUUCUUGAAGUUCCCUUUCUUUCCCUUGCCCUUUUACUUGAAACUAGUGGUCUUGUCAACCAUCAACACUUGAUGCUUUUCUUGAUUUCUACUUCGCCGAUUUCAGCAUCGCGAAGAGCUCGGGGAACCGUUUUCGUCAUCCCUUGCAUAUUAUAGUUCAUCACGAACUUCCAGUAACUUGGUGAUAGUCACUAGAGAACUCUGUCAAUCACUAUCUUAUCUGGAAGAUUAACUCCCACUUGAUUCAAGCAAUUGUAUUACUCAGACAUUCUGAGCACAUGCUCACUGGUUGAGCUAUUCUCCUCCAUCUUGUAGGCAAAAUACUUGUCAGAGGUCUCAUACCUCUCGACUCAGGCAUGAGUCUGAAAUACCAAUUUUAACUCUUGGAACAUCUCAUAUGCUCCGUGACGUUUCAAAACAUUUUUGAAGUCCCGGUUCUAAGCCGUAAAGCAUGGUGCACUAAACUAUCAAGUAGUCAUCAUACUGAGCUUGCCAAACGUUCAUAACGUCUGCAUCUGCUCUUGCAAGGUCCGUCACCUAGCGGUACAUCAAGGACAUAAUACUUCUGUGCAGCAAUGAGGAUAAUCCUCGGAUCACAGAGCUAGUCCGCAUCAUUGCUACUAACAUCUUUCAACUUAUUUUUCUCUAGGAACAUAUCAAAAAUAAACGGGGAGCUACAUCGCGAGCUAUUGAUCUACAACAACAUAGACAUGCAAAAUACUAUCAGGUACUAAGUUCAUGAUAAAUUAAAGUUCAAUUAAUCAUAUUACUUAAGAACUCCCAGUUAGAUAGACAUCCCCCUAAUCAUCUACGUGAUCACGUGAUCCAUAUCAACUAAACCAUGUCCGAUCAUCACGUGAGAUGGAGUAGUUUUCAAUGGUGAACAUCACUACGUUGAUCAUAUCUACUAUAUGAUUCACGCUCGACCUCUCGGUCUCAGUGUUCCGAGGCCAUAUCUGCAUAUGCUAGGCUCGUCAAGUUUAACCCGAGUAUUCUGCGUGUGCAAAACUGGCAUGCACCCGUUGUAUGUGAACGUAGAGCUUAUCACACCCGAUCAUCACCUGGUGUCUCGGCAUGACGAACUGUAGCAACGGUGCAUACCGAGGGAGAACACUUAUACCUUGAAAUUUAGUGAGAGAUCAUCUUAUAAUGCUACCGUCGUACUAAGCAAAAUAAGAUGCAUAAAAGAUAAACAUCACAUGCAAUCAAAAUAAGUGAUAUGAUAUGGCCAUCAUCAUCUUGUGCCUUUGAUCUCCAUCUCCAAAGCACCGUCAUGAUCACCAUUGUCACCGGCUUGACACCUUGAUCUCCAUCGAAGCAUCGUUGUCAUCUUGCCAACUAUUGCUUCUACGACUAUCGCUACCGCUUAGUGAUAAAGUAAAGUAAUUACAUGGCGAUUGCAUUUCAUACAAUAAAGUGACAACCAUAUGGCUCCUGCUAGUUGCCGAUAACUGUUACAAAACAUGAUCAUCUCAUACAACAAAUUAUAUAUCAUCACGUCUUGACCAUAUCACAUCACAGCAAGCCCUGCAAAAACAAGUUAGACGUCCUCUACUUUGUUGUUGCAAGUUUUACAUGGCUGCUACGGGCUUCUAGCAAGAACCGUUCUUACCUACGCAUCAAAACCACAACGAUUUUUUGUCAAGUGUUUUGUUUUAACCUUCAACAAUGAAUGGGCGUAGUCAAACUCGAUUCAACUAAAGUUGGAGAAACAGACACCCACUAGCCACCUGUGUGUGAAGCACGGCGGUAGAACCAGUCUCAUGAACGCGGUCAUGUAAUGUCGGUCUGGGCUGCUUCAUCCAACAAUACCGCCGAAUCAAAGUAUGACAUGCUGGUAAGCAGUAUGACUAUUAUCGCCCACAACUCUUUGUGUUCUACUCGUGCAUAUAACAUCUACGCAUAGACCUGGCUUGGAUGCCACUGUUGGGUAACGUAGUAUUUCAAAGAAAUUCCUACGAUCAUGCAAGAUCUAUCUAGGAGAAGCAUAGCAAUGAGCGGGGAGAGUGUGUCCACGUACCCUCGUAGACCGAAAGCGGAAGCGUUUAGUAACACGGUUGAUGUAGUCGAACGUCUUCGUGAUCCAACCGAUCCAAGUACCGAACGCACGGCACCUCCGCGAUCUGCACACGUUCAGCUCGGUGACGUCCCUCGAACUCUUGAUCUAGUUGAGGCCGAGGGAGAGUUCCAUCAGCACGACGGCGUGGUGACGGUGAUGAUGAAGUUACCGGCGCAGGGCUUUGCCUAAGCACUACGACGAUAUGACCGAGGUGUGUAACUGUGGAGGGGGGCACCGCACACGGCUAAGAGAUUGUCUGUUGUGCCUUUGGGGUGCCCCCUGCCCUUGUAUAUAAAGGAGGGGAGGAGGUGGCCGACCAACAAGGGGCGCGCCAGGGAGGGGGGGUCCUACUAGGACUCCAGUCCUAGUAGGAUUCGGCCCCACCCUUUUUUCCUUCUACCGGAGGGGGAAAAGGGGAAGGAGAGGGAGUAGGAGAAGGAAAGGGGGGUGGCGCCCCCCUUGCCAAGUCCAAUUCGGCCUCCUCCCUUGUGGGGGGCGCACCAGCCCCUUGUGGGCUGGCUAGCCUCCCUACUAUGGCCCAUAAGGCCCAUAUCUUUCCCCGAGGGGUUCCGGUAACCUCCCGGUACUCCGAAAAAAUGCCCGAACCACUCGGAACCAUUCCGAUGUCCAAGUGCAAUCUUCCAAUAUAUGAAUCUUUACCUCUCGACCAUUUCGAGACUCCUCGUCAUGUCCGUGAUCUCAUCCGGGACUCCGAAUAAACUUCGGUUCAUCAAAUCACAUAACUCAUAAUACAAAUCGUCAUCGAACGUUAAGCGUGCGGACACUACGGGUUCGAGAACUAUGUAGACAUGAUCGAGACACAUCUCCAGUCAAUAACCAAUAGCGGAACUUGGAUGCUCAUAUUGGCUCCUACAUAUUCUAUGAAGAUCUUUAUCGGUCAAACCGCAUAACAACAUACGUUGUUCCCUUUGUCAUCGGUAUGUUACUUGCCCGAGAUUCGAUCGUCGGUAUCAUCAUACCUAGUUCAAUCUUGUUACCGGCAAAUCUCUUUACUCAUUCCGUAAUGCAUCAUCCCGUGACUAACUCAUUAGUCACAUUGCUUGCAAGGCUUAUAGUGAUGUGCAUUACCGAGAGGGCCCAGAGAUACCUCUCCAAUACACGAAGUGACAAAUCCUAAUCUCGAUCUAUGCCAACCCAAAAAAACCCUUCGGAGACAUCUGUAGACCAUCUUUAUAAUCACCCAGUUACGUCGUGACGUUUGAUAGCACACAAGGUGUUCCUCCGGUAUUCGAGAGUUGCAUAAUCUCAUAGUCAGAUGAACAUGUAUAAGUCAUGAUGAAAGCAAUAGCAAUAAAACCAAACGAUCAUUAUGCUAAGCUAACGGAUGGGUCUUGUCCAUCACAUCAUUCUCUAAUGAUGUGAUAUUGCUCAUCAAAUGACAACACAUGUCUAUGGUCAGGAAACAUAACAAUCUUUGAUUAACGAGCUAGUCAAGUAGAGGCAUACUAGGAACACUCUGUUUUGUCUAUGUAUUCACACAUGUACUAAGUUUCCAGUUAAUACAAUUCUAGCAUGAAUAAUAAACAUUUAUCAUGAUAUAAGGAAAUAUAAAUAACAACUUUAUUAUUUCCUCUAGGGCAUAUCAUGUAGAGCACCUUUAUAAUCACCUGUUAUGAAGUGACGUUUGAUACCCACAAAGAACUCUUCCAAUAUUCGGGAGUGGCACGAUCUCAUGGUCUAAGGAAUAGAUACUUGACAUGAAGAAAGUUGUAGCAGUUAAACUAAGCGAUACGAUCAGAUGCUAAGCUUAUGGUUGGCUCUGUCCAUCACAUCAUUUCCUAAUGAUGUGAUUCAGUUAUUAAAUGACAGCUCAUGUCUACGGUUAGGAAACCUUAACCAUCUUUAAUCAACGAGCUAGUCUAGUAGAGGCUCAUUAGGGACACGGUGUCUGUAUAUGUAUCCACAAAUAUAUUUAAGUUUCCGGUCAAUACAAUUAUAGCAUGGAUAAUAAACAUUUAUCAUGAACAAGAAAAAAAUGAUAAUAGUUACUUUAUUGUUGCCUCUAGGACAUAUUUUCAGCAAUGCAUGUUAGUCAUCCUUCACAUUUUUGUUUGAAACAACAUUUAUAACUGCAAUUCAAGUUUUUUCUAUUUUAGACACUUUUUAUUGAUUUUCAAGCUUAUAUUUUCUUUCCAUUAGAUUUAGUUGUUUUUAGCAACUAUUUAUUCAUUUUUUAACAAAGCUACCGCAGCAACACGUGGGCAUCAUAUGGUUUCAACAAAGAGGCUUGACCGAACAGAAUUAGAGAGAGGAAAUGGGAAUUAAGGAGUUAUAAGAUAUCAAGUCAAAAAGAAAAGUCACCUAUUUGCUUGGAGGGAAUGAGAAUUCACGAAGGAUCGGGCAUGGGAGUUUAGCUCCCACCAUUUUUUUUUAUAGCUUACCACAUAUGCCGUGUGGUAGCUCCAACCAUUUUAUUAACUUUUUUUGAGAGUCCGCCAAAGGCGUACCUUAUAGAAGAGAGAAAAUAUGUACAAGAGAUUACAAAGGUGAGAUCACCACAGUCCGGCGAUCCCAACCACCACCUCCACUCCGGCUCACUCUAGGCAACUACUCACAAUAUCGGUGUACUCCUGUCCCUCUUGCAAGUGCCCUUAGUCUGAUUUACUCAAAGAUUAGCUCGACGGUGGCAUACACAUUUUGAAUGUUACCUGAAUGGAAGACCCGACAGUUCCUUUGCUUUCAUAGCGUCCAACAAAUUAGCAUGACGAAUGAGUCGAAGACCUUUCGUUCCUCCUUCUGGAUUUGCUUGCGCCGACUUGCCCACCAAUCUUGCAGCUUGUCCUGAUGUGAAGGUAGCAUGCCCAGAUCUAUGUCCACCUUCGAGAAGCACAAAUACCACACAUGCCUUGCAAAUACACAUUGCAACAACAGAUGAUCAACUGUGUCUUCAUCCUGAUCACAGAAGAAGCAAGGUGAAGCCUCCUCUUGUAACGCAUGCCUGAGCCUUCGAUCCUAGGUCCAAAGUCUGUAUUGUACCGCCAAGCACAUGAAUAUUUUGCAGGAUAGCGGGGCCCAACUCUUCCAAAUCGCAACAGUGGGCUGGAAUCGGAUCCCUCCUUCCCAUAGCAUCUUGUACGCAGAAGCUGAUGUGUAUUCCCCAACAGCGUUCCAAGCCCAAAUAGCCUUAUCUUCAUUGGCCGGCACUAAAUCUAUCUCUAUCAGCACCUCCCAAAGACGGAUGAACCACGCCAGCUCGUCAGUAGAAAAAUCACCCCAAGAUGCCAUUCGCCCAUGUUUGCGAUGUCAGCCCCUCGCUAACCAAUCUCCUAUUCACUAUCCUCAUUUUCACCUUUGCCAGUAUGGAGGGAGCAAUUUCUGCAAUUGUUGACCCGUAUACUCAUCUGUCAUUCCAAAAAACUAUCCUGUCUCCUUUUCCAACAUGCCAUUGGACCAAGCUAUUGAAAGCUGUCCUCACAUGUUUGUCCGGUGCCAGGUUUAGUCCUUGCCAUGGCCUCGAAUCAUCCAUCCUUCUCAGCCAUUCCCAGCGUAGCCGAAGAGCAAGACCAGUGUUUACUCAGGUCCAUCACCCCUAAACCGGCAGACCCGUUGCCAUGAAACUGCGCCCUUCCCUCCACUACCCCCCUCUGAUCCUGCCCAGAAGAAUGCCCUACAUCCUUGUCUAUUCUCUCCAAUGCCCAUUUGGGCGCUUCAGCGACGAUCAAGUGGUGCGUGGGCCUGGCUCUCAUAACAUGAUUCACCAAAAUCAAUCUUCCUGGUCGAGUGAUCAUGCCUCUCUGCCAUCCGGGCAGAAUUUCGAGUGCCGCAUCUACUAUUUUAUUAACAAGGUAGGGAGUUGGGAAUUGAUCUAUGGAGAACAUCUCUACUCGUCAUAACUUAACCUCUCUUCGUAUCUCAGCUCAUCCGAAUGAAUUCCCACUAAACAAACAAGGGAAUAAGCACAUCUCUCAAAUUCCCACGUCUCAAACAAGGGAUUGGAAAUUAAAUGUCACGUCCUAUAUCUAAUCUCGUCACAACUCCCUCGUCAAAAUUCUCAUUCUCCUUCAUAAAAGUUACCAAACACGAAGUCCUACGGCUGCACUAUGGCAGUAUGGCCCAAAAUCCAAGACAUCACGAAGCACAUACAUGCGACAUUGCACUUCUUAACAAGUUGGAUGUAAAGGAAAACAAAGUGUGGCUCGUGUUACAAGCCCCUUGCACAAAUCACAUAAUUCAUCACUAGCACACCGUGAACAGAAUACGUUCCACCCGCAAAAAAAGAAGAAAAAAAAGUACGUCCGAAUCUAAAAUGUUAAGAUGUCUAUUUAUAAGGGCACAAAACGAUACGUUUUAGAAUCGUCACAGAUACAGUUCACGCCAGGGUUCUUGAAUGCUUGCUGAUUUCUCAACCCCUGUCUCAAUGACAGUUUCUUUGGAGAACUCCAAGUUGAUGUGCUUGGCUACGUGAUCUCCCACGCACUGCAGCACCUGGAAGUAACAAUAGGCAGAGAGAUUAGGUGAGCAAACAGGCAUUGGAAUCACAGGUAUGUCGACAAAGUCAACUUGUAUAGAAAAUUGUCAGGGGGUAGCACAAACAAACUUAUGUAACAAACCAGACAGAAUUGCCCUAAGACGAGUUCUUUCACAGCAAACAAGCACUUUUUAGUAUAUAAUUUUCUAUUCAAUAUGAGUGGUGUGCAUUGUGGUUUGUGAAUUAUUGCUCCAUAGAAAUAUCAUGGAGUUCAAAUUCUUGUACAAUUAUAAUACCACAUAUAAAACUAAUAAACAAACCAUUAGUUGAAAUUAGAGUAAACCUUCACAAACAUCACUACACUCUUGCUUUCUAUUUGGAAACAAGAUGACAUCAGGACUUUUCCUACUCAGUAUACAACUUUUAUAUAGUUCAGCAGGUUCCAACAUUAAUGGUAGCUUCAAGGUAGCAGACCACAUGUAAGCUUUUCACGAUUGCAAUAAAUUACCAUAGCAAUUUCCCGUUUCCUUUAUUCUGUAUAAAGUACCAUUACUUUCCAUGAAACCCCAGUAAAAGAUAAUGAGAAAAUACAAAAAUGGUAAGGGAAGUUGUACCUCAAGGUCAGAGUCUGAAGAACUUUUGCCUUGGUGCUGCCCACCUGAUGUGACAAGAAGAACUGUCGGUAUCUUCAAUACCCGCACCAUUUCCAGCAAACAUUGUAUUGGUUCACCGCGUAUUUGCAAAGAUGGGGGAGGUUUAAUAAUUCCGUCAACCAACAAGUGAGUAAACUCAUUUGAUGCCCCUAUUUCAGCAGCGUGAAGUGUAGUUAACUGCCCAGUUUUUGUUGCAUUAACCAUUCCAUGGAAGCAGCCUGAUGGUCUUGUGAUGAAUGGUACAAUCAGAAUUGGCUGGAUGGAGG
rnacentral:lncRNA from 1 species